rnacentral:rRNA from 1 species
AGUAACGCGUGGGUAACCUGCCCUAUACACAUGGAUAACAUACUGAAAAGUUUACUAAUACAUGAUAAUAUAUAUUUACGGCACCGUAGAUAUAUCAAAGUGUUAGCGGUAUAGGAUGGACCCGCGUCUGAUUAGCUAGUUGGUGAGAUAACUGCCCACCAAGGCGACGAUCAGUAGCCGACCUGAGAGGGUGAUCGGCCACAUUGGAACUGAGACACGGUCCAAACUCCUACGGGAGGCAGCAGCG